CAGUCGACGAUGAAGCAUUCUUCGGAAUGUGGAAGAGUGGCGAACGGGUGAGGAACACGUAAGAAUCUGCCCCUCGGUCGGGGACAACUCUUGGAAACGAGAGCUAAUACCCGAUACGCUGUGGAGUGAAAGAAUUUCGCCGAGGGAUGAUCUUGCGUCUGAUUAGCUAGUUGGUGUGGUAAUGGCACACCAAGGCGACGAUCAGUAGCUGGUCUGAGAGGAUGGACAGCCACAUUGGAACUGAGACACGGUCCAAACUCCUACGGGAGGCAGCAGUGGGGAAUUUUCCGCAAUGGACGCAAGUCUGACGGAGCGACGCUGCGUGAAGGAUGACGGCCCGCGGGUUGUAAACUUCUUUUCUCGAAGAAGAAACAAAUGACGGUAUUCGAGGAAUAAGCAUCGGCUAACUCCGUGCCAGCAGCCGCGGUAAGACGGAGGAUGCAAGUGUUAUUCGGAAUGAUUGGGCGUAAAGAGUCUGUAGGCCGUAUAGAAAGUCUUUUGUUAAAUGCCUCGGCCCAACCGAGAUCCAGCAAAGGAAACUUCUAUACUUGAGGGAAGUAGAGGUACAGGGAAUUCCCGGUGGAGCGGUGAAAUGCGUA
rnacentral:rRNA from 1 species